rnacentral:rRNA from 1 species
UACGUAGGGGGCGAGCGUUGUCCGGAAUUACUGGGCGUAAAGCGCGUGGAGGCGGUGUGGUAAGUCGGAUGUUAAAGGCGUGGGCUCAACCUGCGCAUGCGUUCGAUACUGCCAUGCUGGAGUACCGGAGAGGAAAGUGGAAUUCCCGGUGUAGCGGUGAAAUGCGUAGAUAUCGGGGGGAACACCAGUGGCGAAGGCGGCUUUCUGGCCGGUUACUGACGCUCAAGCGCGAAAGCUGGGGGAGCAAACGGGAUUAGAUACCCCGGUAGUCCCAGCCGUAAACGAUGAAUGCUAGGUGUGGGUGUCGUAGGGCAUCCGUGCCGGAGCGAACGCGAUAAGCAUUCCGCCUGGGGAGUACGGUUGCAAGACUGAA